AACAGAAAAAUGAGAACGUCUUGAAAUUCUAGCUAAAAGGAUGUCACAGUUCUAUUGAUUUGAGUUCCCAGCCAGAAACCAAGGAAAUAUGUCCAACUGCUUAGCCAAAGUUCUGGACACCAUUAUCAAAAGAAAAGACACGUGUUGGCAGAGGACAUACCACCACCGCUGCCAGCAAGGCAACAAUCCAACCAUUGUGGACCCACACCACGCAGAGGAAGACUAUCCCCACGACACUUCUACCAUGUUGUUCCUUUUGGGUGCAAGCUGCUCUCAUGGGUUUGGCUCCCUGUAGCAGACACUCCAAAUUAUUGUGACUGAAAGAAGAUUGAAAUCCGUCACUUUCUCGUGUUUAAAAAUUUGAGGAAGGAAGCUCAGAGGUGCUAUGGAGGCUCCAUAGUCAUCUGGCAUCUUAGCAAUUUCCAAACUUCCAUUCCCUCCACCUUUCCCACAAUAUAGUUCUCAUUCUCCUCAUUUAUGGUGGAUACUUAGUUUUCUAGCAAUGCUAAAAUGAGUGACCACAAAUGUGAUGGCUUAUUGCAGCAAAGAUUUCACCUCUCCUACUUCUAAAGCCAUUAAUCUAUCACGUUUCCCCAGGCCCAAAACAAGAAGACUGC